rnacentral:SRP_RNA from 1 species
CCGCGCUAGAUGGGGAGUUAGCGGUGCCCUGUACCUGCAAUCCGCUACAGCAGGGUUGAAUUCCAUCCCCCGGCCAGGGCCUGUGGGGUCUGGUGCCGGUAAGGAGCGUUGAGAGCCGGGUCCCAUGCAAUCGGAGCCUGUGAACCAUGUCAGAUCCUGACGGAAGCAGCAUUAAGCAGGAAAACCGGUGUGCCGUGGGUUCGCCUGGAAGGAGCCGCCUGCCGGUGGGCCGCCCGGAGGCUUUUGGUCAAAGGAUGGUGCGCGG